rnacentral:misc_RNA from 1 species
AAGAUUGAUUGUCACCACCACUACCAGUAUUGGUCAUUAUAUUGAAGGUGAAAUCCUUGUUUGAUAUCACCUGAUACAGCGUAUAACGCGGAAAAAGAUCGACAUACGAUCAAGCCCUUGAAAAUAAAUAUGAUCUAAUCCAAGAUCUUAAGAAACACAUGAUUCAAUCCAUAAUCUAAAGAUAAAAUAAAGCAAACAUAACUUUAUGAAGAAAAAUACUUCAUUGAAUAAAUCUUGAAACUUGUACAUAAUAGAAAUAUAAUGGGUAUUUAUAGAAUUUUAAAUCCUAAU